UGCAGUCGAGCGAAUGGAUUGAGAGCUUGCUCUCAAGAAGUUAGCGGCGGACGGGUGAGUAACACGUGGGUAACCUGCCCAUAAGACUGGGAUAACUCCGGGAAACCGGGGCUAAUACCGGAUAACAUUUUGAACCGCAUGGUUCGAAAUUGAAAGGCGGCUUCGGCUGUCACUUAUGGAUGGACCCGCGUCGCAUUAGCUAGUUGGUGAGGUAACGGCUCACCAAGGCAACGAUGCGUAGCCGACCUGAGAGGGUGAUCGGCCACACUGGGACUGAGACACGGCCCAGACUCCUACGGGAGGCAGCAGUAGGGAAUCUUCCGCAAUGGACGAAAGUCUGACGGAGCAACGCCGCGUGAGUGAUGAAGGCUUUCGGGUCGUAAAACUCUGUUGUUAGGGAAGAACAAGUGCUAGUUGAAUAAGCUGGCACCUUGACGGUACCUAACCAGAAAGCCACGGCUAACUACGUGCCAGCAGCCGCGGUAAUACGUAGGUGGCAAGCGUUAUCCGGAAUUAUUGGGCGUAAAGCGCGCGCAGGUGGUUUCUUAAGUCUGAUGUGAAAGCCCACGGCUCAACCGUGGAGGGUCAUUGGAAACUGGGAGACUUGAGUGCAGAAGAGGAAAGUGGAAUUCCAUGUGUAGCGGUGAAAUGCGUAGAGAUAUGGAGGAACACCAGUGGCGAAGGCGACUUUCUGGUCUGUAACUGACACUGAGGCGCGAAAGCGUGGGGA
rnacentral:rRNA from 1 species